GGUUGUAUAGUGUAGUUGGUUAUCACAUCGGAUUCUGAUCAGCGAUUCAAUCGUAAUCAUUCCGGGGACCUGAGUUCGAAUCUCGGUACGACCU
rfam:Pseudogymnoascus pannorum VKM F-4246 contig_2427, whole genome shotgun sequence.